UUUGAAUUUUAGGAGCCUUGGUGACAGACCUUUAACAUUUGAUUGAUCUGCCAGAACCAGAUAGUUUCCUCCCAAAAUAGCAACAGACUGAUACCACUCUCUGAAACCAGAGUGAUAGAAAUAGACGGAUACAAGACUAAAACAAUAUUUCUUGACUUUGAAACAGCUCAGAUCUUACUGAAGAAAUCUCCAUGGAGUACUGUUUGAUUAUCCUUUACCAGAAGAAGAUGUCAAACAUGCAAAUUUUGGAAAGACAGCUCACUAAAUUGUAGAGUGAGGAUAGAUGGACACUGUUUAGCUGAACCAAUAAAGGGGAACCAAUCCUAGCAGAUACAGAUCUGAUAAAGAUGACAGAAACUACAUAAUUAUAUACAUGGCAGUCAAAGGAAACAUACUUCAGACUAUGGAUAUGUUAUAGAAGAACAGACAUUAUGCAUAUAUCAUCACUUGGACGGAAUGUGUCAAUCACCAACUUUACAUUGUGUUGUGAACAUUUCAUUAACCUGCUGAAUUUCUUAAACGUUUUCAUGUAAAUUUUUCAAUAAAUCAGUUUUCAUAGGGGGAGAGUUGAGUGAAGAGUUGAAGAGGAAAGUUGAGUGAUGGGUUAAGGGGACAGCUGAGAUUAUUGGGAGUCAAGUUAUGGAAGAGUUUAGGUUAUAGGGACUGGUCAGGUUACGGGGAGAGUUGAGAUUGUGUUAACAAGAGUUGAGUUGAGGUAACAGGGAGUGGAGUCAAGAUUACCAGGAGAAUUGAGUAGAGUUGAGAUAACGAGGAGAGUUAGGUAGAGUUAAGGUUGCCUGGAGAGUUGAUUUGUCGUUACGGGGAAAGUUGAGUUAAGUUGAGGUUAAGGGGAGAGUUGAGCUGAGGUUACGGGAAGAGUUGAGAUGACGGGGAGAACCAAGUUAAGUUGAAAUUACGGGGAGAGUUGAGUUGAUAUUAUGGGGAUAGUUGAGUUAAGGUUAUGGGGAUAGUUAAGUUGAGAGUACGAAGAGAGUUAAGAGAUUACAGGGAGAGUUGAGUUGAGGUAACGGGGAGAGUUAAGUUGAGUUACGGGGAAAGUUAAUUGAUGUUAUGGGGAGAGUUGAGUUAAGGUGAGGUACAUGGAGAGUUGAGUUGAGGUUAUGGGGAUAGUUAAGUUGAGAUUACGGGGAGAGUUAAGUUGAGAUUACGGGGAGAGUUGAGUUGAUAUUACGGGGAUAGUUGAGUUAUGUUGAGGUACGGGGAGAGUUAAGUUGAGAGUACGGGGAGAGUUGAGUUGAGAUUACGGGGAUGAUUGAGUUAAGUUGAGGUACAUGGAGAGUUGAGUUGAGGUUACGGGGAGAGUUAAGUUGAGAUUACGGGGAGAGUUAAGUUGAGAUUACGGGGAGAGUUGAGUUGAUAUUACGGGGAUAGUUGAGUUAUGUUGAGGUACGGGGAGAGUUAAGUUGAGUUACGGGGAGAGUUGAGUUG